AAAGUAAACAGACUGUCCAGGCCAGCAGGGGGCGUGACAUCGGGACUCCAGCUUCAGGACGUAGGGAACAUCUGACACAUGGGGAACAGAGGGGGCUCUCUGGAACCCUUUCAGAUCUGUCUUGUCUGAGAUACAUAUGGAUACUUUGGUCCCAUCCAGGACCACAUAUUUCCUCUCCCAGCCCUGGCCUCGCUUCCCAUUUCUGCAAUGACAUAAGACAUUACUACAAAGGUGUUGCUGCGUCCUUCCUGCGUCCAGAGUUGGAGGGUGCCAGGCUGGUCGGGCCCUGCUGGUGCUCAGGAGACUUCACAGACAUAAUCAUCUGCUGCCGUGCUGUGGCCGGAGAUCGCAGCUCCGCUCUCAUUUUCUGCAGAGCAUCUUCGAGCUCUGAGCAGCGAGAUCGCUCUUUGUCCAGAGCUGCCUUCAUGUCACUGU